CUGGCGUCAGGAGUGAACGCUAGCUACAGGCUUAACACAUGCAAGUCGAGGGGCAUCAUGGAGUUUGCUUGCAAACUCUGAUGGCGACCGGCGCACGGGUGAGUAACGCGUAUCCAACCUUCCCUAUAGUAGAGGAUAGCCCGGCGAAAGUCGGAUUAAUACUCUAUGUUUCCGUUGCAGACAUCUAAGAUGGAACAAAGGCUUGCCGCUAUAGGAUGGGGAUGCGUCUGAUUAGGUAGUCGGCGGGGUAACGGCCCACCGAGCCAUCGAUCAGUAGGGGUUCUGAGAGGAAGGUCCCCCACAUUGGAACUGAGACACGGUCCAAACUCCUACGGGAGGCAGCAGUGAGGAAUAUUGGUCAAUGGGCGAGAGCCUGAACCAGCCAAGUAGCGUGCAGGACGACGGCCCUAUGGGUUGUAAACUGCUUUUAUGCGGGGAUAAAGUUCACUACGUGUAGUGUUUUGUAGGUACCGCAUGAAUAAGGACCGGCUAAUUCCGUGCCAGCAGCAGC
rnacentral:rRNA from 1 species